AUUGAACGCUGGCGGCAUGCUUUACACAUGCAAGUCGAACGGCAGCGGGGGCUUCGGCCUGCCGGCGAGUGGCGAACGGGUGAGUAAUGCAUCGGAACGUGCCCAUGUCGUGGGGGAUAACUACGCGAAAGCGUGGCUAAUACCGCAUACGCCCUGAGGGGGAAAGCGGGGGAUCUUUCGGGACCUCGCGCGAUUGGAGCGGCCGAUGUCGGAUUAGCUAGUUGGUGGGGUAAAGGCUCACCAAGGCGACGAUCCGUAGCUGGUCUGAGAGGAUGAUCAGGCACACUGGGACUGAGACACGGCCGAGACUCCUACGGGAGGCAGCAGUGGGGGAUUUUGGACAAUGGGCGCAAGCCUGAUCCAGCCAUGCCGCGUGAGUGAAGAAGGCCUUCGGGUUGUAAAGCUCUUUCGGCCGGGAAGAAAUCGCAUUCUCUAAUAUAGGAUGUGGAUGACGGUACCGGACUAAGAAGCACCGGCUAACUACGUGCCAGCCGCCGCAGUAAUAC
rnacentral:rRNA from 1 species